GAUGAACGCUAGCUACAGGCUUAACACAUGCAAGUCGAGGGGAAACGACAUCGAAAGCUUGCUUUUGAUGGGCGUCGACCGGCGCACGGGUGAGUAACGCGUAUCCAACCUGCCCAUCACUUGGGAAUAACCUUGCGAAAGUAAGACUAAUACCCAAUGAUAUCCCACGAAGGCAUCGGAAUGGGAUUAAAGAUUUAUCGGUGAUGGAUGGGGAUGCGUCUGAUUAGCUUGUUGGCGGUGUACCGGCCCACCAAGGCAACGAUCAGUAGGGGUUCUGAGAGGAAGGUCCCCCACAUUGGAACUGGGACCCGGUCCACACUCCUACGGGAGGCAGCAGUGAGGAAUACUGGUCAAUGGGCGAGAGCCUGAACCAGCCAAGUAGCGUGCAGGAAGACGGCCCUAUGGGUUGUAAACUGCUUUUAUAAGGGAAUAAAGUGGGUCACGUGUGACUUUUUGCAUGUACCUUAUGAAUAAGGACCGGCUAAUUCCGUG
rnacentral:rRNA from 1 species